GAUGAACGCUGGCGGCGUGCCUAAUACAUGCAAGUCGAGCGAACAGACGAGGAUCUUGCUCCUCUGACGUUAGCGGCGGACGGGUGAGUAACACGUGGAUAACCUACCUAUAAGACUGGUAUAACUUCGGGAAACCGGAGCUAAUACCGGAUAAUAUAUUGAACCGCAUGGUUCAAUAGUGAAAUACGGCUUUGCUGUCACUUAUAGAUGGAUCCGCGCCGCAUUAGCUAGUUGGUAAGGUAACGGCUUACCACGGCAACGAUGCGUAGCCGAACUGAGGGGGUGAUCGGCCACACUGGAACGGAGACACGGUCAAGACUCCUACGGGAGGCAGCAGUAGGGAAUCGGACGCAAUGGGCGGAAGCCUGACGGAGCGACGCCGCGUGAGUGAUGAAGGUCUUCGGAGCGUAAAACUCUGUUAUUAGGGAAAAACCAAUGUGUAAGGAACUAUGCACGGCUUGACGGUACCUGAUCAGAAAGCCACGGCUAACUACGUG
rnacentral:rRNA from 1 species